rnacentral:misc_RNA from 1 species
GAUGAAGAACGCAGCGAAAUGCGAUAAGUAGUGUGAAUUGCAGAAUUCCGUGAAUCAUCGAAUCUUUGAACGCACAUUGCGCCUCCUGGUAGUCCGGGAGGCAUGCCUGUUCGAGCGUCACCAAAUCCAACUCAAGCGGUUUUGCGCUUGGUCGUGGCGGAAGAGUCGGUCUGGUUGCCGUCUCCCCUCCGAAAAUCAACGGCGGAAAGUCACUGGCAGUCAGCGUAGUAGUAUCGUUCGCCGAACAUCCAGUGGCAUUCCUGCCGACGUACCCCCACAAUUCUCGUGAUUGACCUCGUAUCAGGUAGGGAUACCCGCUGAACUUAAGCAUAUCAAUAAGCGGAGGA